rnacentral:rRNA from 1 species
UUCCCCUAGUAACUGCGAGUGAAGCGGGAAAAGCUCAAAUUUGAAAUCUGGCAGUUUGUUAAGCUGUCCGAGUUGUAAUCUAGAGAAGUGUUACCUGUGCUGGACCAUGUACAAGUCUCCUGGAAUGGAAGCAUCACAGAGGGUGAGAAUCCCGUCUUUGACAUGGACUGCCUGCACGUUGUGGUGCGCUCUCGAAGAGUCGAGUUGUUUGGGAAUGCAGCUCAAAAUGGGUGGUAAAUGCCAUCUAAAGCUAAAUAUUGGCGAGAGACCGAUAGCGAACAAGUACCGUGAGGGAAAGAUGAAAAGUACUUUGGAAAGAGAGUUAAACAGUACGUGAAAUUGCUGAAAGGGAAACGCUUGAAGUCAGUCGCGUCAGCCAGAAAUCAGCCUUGCUUUUGCUUGGUGUAUUUUCUGGUUUUGACGGGUCAGCAUCAAUUUUGACCACUGGAUAAAGUCAUUGGGAAUGUGGCAUCCUUGGAUGUGUUAUAGCCCAUUGUUGCAUACGGUGGUUGGAAUUGAGGAACUCAGCACCCCACAAGGCCGGGUUUCGACCACGUUCGUGCUUAGGAUGCUGGCAUAAUGGCUUUAAUCGAGCCGUCUUGAAACACGGACCAAGGAGUCUAACAUGCCUGCGAGUGUUUGGGUGGAAAACCCAUGCGCGAAAUGAAAGUGAAAGUUGAGAUCCUCUAUGAGGAGCAUUGACGCCCGGACCAGACCUUUUGUGACGGAUCCGCGGUAGAGCAUGUAUGUUGGGACCCGAAAGAUGGUGAACUAUGCCUGAAUAGGGUGAAGCCAGAGGAAACUCUGGUGGAGGCUCGUAGCGAUUCUGACGUGCAAAUCGAUCGUCAAAUUUGGGUAUAGGGGCGAAAGACU